rnacentral:tRNA from 1 species
GGUUAAAUGACUGAAAUUUAGGUAAUAAACUGUAAAUUUAUUUAUGAGAUCUUUAUCUCUUUAACCA